CGCACAGGCUAUUUGCAAUAUCCAACUUUAUCAGAUACCACAUCAAGAGAACAUAUUUGUGAAGUGAAGAUAUUUCUUAUGUUACUAAAUAACAAAGUUCCUAUCCAUUCAAGAGUGUUUUAAUUAUAGGUCCGCAAGAAGAGUGAGCUCCAUUGCGCUGGUACGCGGUACAACGUUGACCGCUGAAACGAUUAAAGUUUGUGCACUCAGCGCACACCGAAAUUCAAGCAGCACGUCGCCUACUGUACACCUCAUUUUUGG